rnacentral:rRNA from 1 species
GAUGAACGCUGGCGGCGUGCCUAAUACAUGCAAGUCGAGCGAACAGACGAGGAGCUUGCUCCUCUGACGUUAGCGGCGGACGGGUGAGUAACACGUGGAUAACCUACCUAUAAGACUGGGAUAACUUCGGGAAACCGGAGCUAAUACCGGAUAAUAUAUUGAACCGCAUGGUUCAAUAGUGAAAGACGGUUUUGCUGUUACUUAUAGAUGGAUCCGCGCCGCAUUAGCUAGUUGGUAAGGUAACGGCUUACCAAGGCGACGAUGCGUAGCCGACCUGAGAGGGUGAUCGGCCACACUGGAACUGAGACACGGUCCAGACUCCUGCGGGAGGCAGCAGUAGGGAAUCUUCCGCAAUGGGCGAAAGCCUGACGGAGCAACGCCGCGUGAGUGAUGAAGGUCUUCGGAUCGUAAAACUCUGUUAUUAGGGAAGAACAAAUGUGUAAGUAACUAUGCACGUCUUGACGGUACCUAAUCAGAAAGCCACGGCUAACUACGUG